GUCUUGUUGAUUAUAAUUUCAAGUCUGGCCUGCCCUAUGAGAAGAUUAAAUGGCCGCAGUAUUUUGACUGUGCAAAGGUAGCAUAAUCAUUAGUUUUUUAAUUUAAAGCUUGAAUGAAAGGUUUGAUGAGAGAAUUUCUGUCUCUAGAAGGAUUUAUUAGAAUUUUAUUUUUAAGUAAGAAAGCUUAAAUAUUUAUAGAAGACGAGAAGACCCUAUAGAGUUUUAUAUUUUACUAGUAAGAUUAAUUUUCAGGUUAAUGAAAUUUUUAAUUUGUUAUUGAAAUAUUUUGUUGGGGUGAUGGAAAAAUUGAAUAAACUUUUUUUUGUAUAAAAACACUUAUAUGUGAUUUUAUGAUCCUAAAAUUUUAGAUUAAAAGAUUUAAUUACCUUAGGGAUAACAGCGUAAUUUUUUAUAGAGUUCUUAUCGAAUAAAAAGAUUGCGACCUCGAUGUUGGAUUAAAGUAAAUUAUUGGUGUAGAAAGCUAAUUAAUUAAGUCUGUUCGACUUUUAAAACUUUACAUGAUCUGAGUUUAAACCGGUGUGAG
rnacentral:rRNA from 1 species